CCUACGGGUGGCAGCAGUGGGGAAUAUUGCACAAUGGGGGAAACUCUGAUGCAGCAACGUAGCGUGAAGGAAGACGGUUCUCGGAUUGUAAACUUCCGUUCUUAGUGAAGUAUAAUGACGGUAGCUAAGGAGCAAGUCACGGCUAACUAAGUGCCAGCAGCCGCGGUAAUACGGAGGAGGCACGCGUUAUCCGGAUUUACUGGGGUUAUAGGGGGCGCAGGCGGCAGCGGAAGCCAGUAGUGAAAGCCCGGGGCCCAACCCCGGGACUGCUCUUGGAACUGGGCGGCUGGAGUGCAGGAGGGGCAGGCGGAAUUCCUGGUGUAGCGGUGAAAUGCUUAGAUAUCAGGAAGAACACCGAUGGCGAAGGCGGCCUGCUGAACUGCGACUGACGUUGAGGCCCGAAAGCGUGGGGAGCAAACAGGAUUAGAUACCCCAGUAGUC
rnacentral:rRNA from 1 species